rnacentral:rRNA from 1 species
GUCCAUGCCAUAAACGAUGAUCACUUGGUGUUGGAGGUAUUGACCCCUUCAGUGCCGAAGCUAACGCGUUAAGUGAUCCGCCUGGGGAGUACGGCCGCAAGGUUAAAACUCAAAGAAAUUGACGGGGGCCCGCACAAGCGGUGGAGCAUGUGGUUUAAUUCGAUGCAACGCGAAGAACCUUACCUGGGUUUGACAUGAUUUGGAAGAGUGGCAGAGAUGCCCUCGCCCGCAAGGGCCGAAUCACAGGUGCUGCAUGGCUGUCGU